CAGCGCCUCUUUCUCCGCCCACUCAGCAGCAACGUGGCAGCCGAGUGAGGGCCUCGGGGGCGACAC
rnacentral:pre_miRNA from 2 species